rnacentral:rRNA from 1 species
AUGGCGGCGUGCUUACCUGCAAGUCGAACGGUAAGGCCCUUUCGGGGGUACACGUGUGGCGAACGGGUGAGUAACACGUGGGUGAUCUGCCCUGCACUUUGGGAUAAGCCUGGGAAACUGGGUCUAAUACCGAAUACACCUUGCUGGUCGCAUGGCCUGGUGGGGGAAAGCUUUUGCGGUGUGGGAUGGGCCCGCGGCCUAUCAGCUUGUUGGUGGGGUGAUGGCCUACCAAGGCGACGACGGGUAGCCGGCCUGAGAGGGUGUCCGGCCACACUGGGACUGAGAUACGGCCCAGACUCCUACGGGAGGCAGCAGUGGGGAAUAUUGCACAAUGGGCGCAAGCCUGAUGCAGCGACGCCGCGUGAGGGAUGACGGCCUUCGGGUUGUAAACCUCUUUCAGUACCGACGAAGCGUGAGUGACGGUAGGUACAGAAGAAGCACCGGCCAACUACGUGCCAGCAGCCGCGGUAAUACGUAGGGUGCGAGCGUUGUCCGGAAUUACUGGGCGUAAAGAGCUCGUAGGUGGUUUGUCGCGUUGUUCGUGAAAACCUGAGGCUUAACCUUGGGCGUGCGGGCGAUACGGGCAGACUGGAGUACUGCGGGGGAGACUGGAAUUCCUGGUGUAGCGGUGGAAUGCGCAGAUAUCACGAGGAACACCGGUGGCGAAGGCGGGUCUCUGGGCAGUAACUGACGCUGAGGAGCGAAAGCGUGGGGAGCGAACAGGAUUAGAUACCCUGGUAGUCCACGCCGUAACGGUGGGUACUAGGUGUGGGUUUCCUUCCUUGGGAUCCGUGCCGUAGCUAACGCAUUAAGUACCCCGCCC